AGAACGAACGCUGGCGGCAGGCCUCAAACAUGCAAGUCUAGGGGGCGUAGCAAUACGUCACCGGCGGACGGGUGCGUAACACGUGGGAAUGUACUUAUUGGUUCGGAACAACUCAGGGAAACUUGAGCUAAUACCGAAUGUGCCCGAAAGGGGAAAGAUUUAUCGCCAAUAAAUCAGCCCGCGUCCGAUUAGCUAGUUGGUGGGGUAAAGGCCCACCAAGGCGACGAUCGGUAGCUGUUCUGAGAGGAAGAUCAGCCACACUGGGACUGAGACACGGCCCAGACUCCUACGGGAGGCAGCAGUUGGGAAUCUUGGACAAUGGGGGAAACCCUGAUCCAGCCAUGCCGCGUGAGUGAUGAAGGCCUUCGGGUUGUAAAACUCUUUCGACGGGGACGAUAAUGACGGUACCCGUAGAAGAAGCUCCGGCUAACUUCGUGCCAGCAGCCGC
rnacentral:rRNA from 1 species